UGGGGAAUAUUGCACAAUGGGCGCAAGCCUGAUGCAGCCAUGCCGCGUGUAUGAAGAAGGCCUUCGGGUUGUAAAGUACUUUCAGCGGGGAGGAAGGGAGUAAAGUUAAUACCUUUGCUCAUUGACGUUACCCGCAGAAGAAGCACCGGCUAACUCCGUGCCAGCAGCCGCGGUAAUACGGAGGGUGCAAGCGUUAAUCGGAAUUACUGGGCGUAAAGCGCACGCAGGCGGUUUGUUAAGUCGGAUGUGAAAUCCCCGGGCUCAACCUGGGAAAUGCAUUCGAAACUGGCAGGCUAGAGUCUUGUAGAGGGGGGUAGAAUUCCAGGUGUAGCGGUGAAAUGCGUAGAGAUCUGGAGGAAUACAGGUGGCGAAGGCGGCCCCCUGGACAAAGACUGACGCUCAGGUGCGAAAGCGUGGGGAGCAAACAGG
rnacentral:rRNA from 1 species